GGUUCCAUGGCCCAAUGGAUAAGGCGCUGGUCUACGAAACCAGAGAUUGUGAGUUCGAUCCUCACUGGAAUCG